rnacentral:tRNA from 1 species
UUUAUAUAGUUUAACUUAAAAAUUUAAUAUUGAAGAUAUUAAGAUAAUUAUUAUAUUUAUAAAUA